rnacentral:rRNA from 1 species
UACGUAGGGGGCAAGCGUUGUCUGGAUUUAUUGGGCGUAAAGAGCGUGUAGGUGGCCAUGUAGGUCCGCUGUGAAAACUCGAGGCUCAACCUCGAGCUGUCGGUGGAAACCACAUGGCUAGAGUCCGGAAGAGGAGAGUGGAAUUCCUGGUGUAGCGGUGAAAUGCGCAGAUAUCAGGAAGAACACCAAUGGCGAAGGCAGCUCUCUGGGACGGUACUGACACUGAGACGCGAAAGCGUGGGGAGCGAACAGG